GACAGAGAUGGCAAGCGUUGUUCGGAAUCACUGGGCUUAAAGAGCACGUAGGCGGAAAGUUAAGUGUUUGGUGAAAUCCCCCGGCUUAAUCGGGGAACUGCUGAGCAAACUGGCUUUCUUGAGGCCGACAGGGGUGCAUGGAACUCUAGGUGGAGCGGUGAAAUGCGUAGAUAUCUAGGGGAACGCCAGCGGUGAAAACGGUGCACUGGGUCGGUUCUGACGCUGAGGUGCGAAAGCGUGGGGAGCGAACGGG
rnacentral:rRNA from 1 species